CCCUUAGAUGUUCUGGGCCGCACGCGCGCUACACUGAUGCAUUCAACGAGUCUAAAACCUGGUCUGAGAGGGCUGGGUAAUCUUUUGAAAGUGCAUCGUGAUUGGGAUAGAUGAUUGCAAUUCUUCAUCUUCAACGAGGAAUGCCUAGUAAACGCAAGUCAUCAGCUUGCAUUGAUUACGUCCCUGCCCUUUGUACACACCGCCCGUCGCUCCUACCGAUUGAACGAUCCGAUGAAAACUGUGGAUUGAGAGUCUGAGUGGGUUCGCCUACCUCAACUUUCGAGAAGCGGUUUAAAUCUUAUCGUUUAGAGGAAGGAGAAGUCGUAACA
rnacentral:rRNA from 1 species